rnacentral:rRNA from 1 species
GAGCUAAUACMMNCGGAUAAUAUAUUGAACCGCAUGGUUCAAUAGUGAAAGACGGUUUUGCUGUCACUUAUAGAUGGAUCCGCGCCGCAUUAGCUAGUUGGUAAGGUAACGGCUUACCANAGGCAACGAUGCGUAGCCGACCUGAGAGGGUGAUCGGCCACACUGGAACUGAGACACGGUCCAGACUCCUACGAGGCAGMCAGUAGGGAAUCUUCCGCAAUGGGCGAAAGCCUGACGGAGCAACGCCGCGUGAGUGAUGAAGGUCUUCGGAUCGUAUUAGGGAAGAACAAAUGUGUAAGUAACUAUGCACGUCUUGACGGUACCUAAUCAGAAAGCCACGGCUAACUACGUGCCAGCAGCCGCGGUAAUACGUAGGUGGCAAGCGUUAUCCGGAAUUAUUGGCCGCGUAAAGCGCGCGUAGGCGGUUUUUUAAGUCUGAUGUGAAAGCCCCACGGCUCAACCGUGGAGGGUCAUUGGAAACUGGAAAACUUGAGUGCAGAAGAGGGAAGUGGAAUUCCAUGUGUAGCGGUGAAAUGCGCAGAGACAUAUGGAGGAACACCAGUGGCGAAGGCGACUUUCUGGUCUGUAACUGACGCUGAUGUGCGAAAGCGUGGGGAUCAAACAGGAUUAGAUACCCUGGUAGUCCACGCCGUAAACGAUGAGUGCUAAGUGUUAGGGGGUUUCCGAGUGCUGCAGCUAACGCAUUAAGCACUCCGCCUGGGGAGUACGACCGCAAGGUUGAACCGAAUUGACGGGGACCCGCACAAGCGGUGGAGCAUGUGGUUUAAUUCGAAGCAACGCGAAGAACCCCCUUGACAUCCUCUGACCCCUCUAGAGAUAGAGUUUUCCCCUUCGGGGCCGACAGAGUGACAGGUGGUGCMMAUGGUUGUCGUCAGCUCGUGUCGUGAGAUGUUGGGUUAAGUCCCGCAACGAGCGCAACCCUUAAGCUUAGUUGCCAUCAUUAAGUUGGGCCCACUCUAAG